UACGGGGGGGGCAAGCGUUGUUCGGAAUUACUGGGCGUAAAGGGCUCGUAGGUGGCCAACUAAGUCAGGCGUGAAAUCCCUCAGCUUAACUGGGGAACUGCGUCUGAUACUGGAUGGCUUGAGUUUGGGAGAGGGAUGCGGAAUUCCAGGUGUAGCGGUGAAAUGCGUAGAUAUCUGGAGGAACACCGGUGGCGAAGGCGGCAUCCUGGACCAACACUGACACUGAUGAGCGAAAGCCAGGGGAGCAAGCGGG
rnacentral:rRNA from 1 species